rnacentral:rRNA from 1 species
CGGACGGGGGAGUAAUGUCUGGGAAACUGCCUGAUGGAGGGGGGUAACUACUGGAAACGGUAGCUAAUACCGCGUAACGUCGCAAGACCAAAGAGGGGGACCUUCGGGCCUCUUGCCAUCGGAUGUGCCCAGAUGGGAUUAGCUAGUAGGUGGGGUAACGGCUCACCUAGGCGACGAUCCCUAGCUGGUCUGAGAGGAUGACCAGCCACACUGGAACUGAGACACGGUCCAG